rnacentral:siRNA from 1 species
UUAAACAAUUAAGGAAUGCA